UGGGGAAUAUUGCACAAUGGGCGCAAGCCUGAUGCAGCCAUGCCGCGUGUGUGAAGAAGGCCUUCGGGUUGUAAAGCACUUUCAGCGAGGAGGAAGGUGGUGGACUUAAUACGUUCAUCAAUUGACGUUACUCGCAGAAGAAGCACCGGCUAACUCCGUGCCAGCAGCCGCGGUAAUACGGAGGGUGCAAGCGUUAAUCGGAAUUACUGGGCGUAAAGCGCACGCAGGCGGUUUGUUAAGUCAGAUGUGAAAUCCCCGGGCUCAACCUGGGAACUGCAUUUGAAACUGGCAAGCUAGAGUCUCGUAGAGGGGGGUAGAAUUCCAGGUGUAGCCGGUGAAAUGCGUAGAGAUCUGGAGGAAUACCGGUGGCGAAGGCGGCCCCCUGGACGAAGACUGACGCUCAGGUGCGAAAAGCGUGGGGAGCAAAACAGGAUUAGAUACCCUGGUAGUCCACGCUGUAAAACGAUGUCGAUUUUGGAGGUUGUGCCCUUGAGGCGUGGCUUCCGGAGCUAACGCGUUAAAUCGACCGCCUGGGGAGUACGGCC
rnacentral:rRNA from 1 species